rnacentral:sRNA from 1 species
GAUACCAGGGUCAAAAGGUCAUGCGUUUCAUGCGCGCAUGAAAAAGCAUGACUUUGGGACCCGCCAAACAUGAGAAGGAAGCCCGGAAGGGCGGAAUUCGAAUGUUUAGGAUUACGAGAGCACGAAGUGCGGAGGAAUCCGUGGUAU